ensembl:lncRNA
CUACAUUUUGUGCUGUAAGAGAAUAUUGGUGGGAAGUUCCAACCUCUGCUGCCAUACCACCAACAUCCGCCUCUGAGGUCUGUGGGUCAGCGCCACAGAAUGAGAGGCAUUACUUUUUGGAGCAGACCCCACACGUGUCAACGUAUAACAUACAAACCUCAGGUCCACACCGAGCUGGUCUAGCAGGCGCCGGGGAAACAGCAAAAAGAAACUAAAAAGGGGAAGUUAUGAAAUGGUGUUUUUUCCCCAGAAACGUGAAAGGUGGUUGCUUGUCUGCAGCGGAAACCUCAGCACUGGGGUUUGCAGAGUAGUGUUGGGUCAGUCCAUCUGAGCACUGUGCUCCAUUGAGCCUCGGGCAUGGGGAGGAGCUGGCUGGCUGGGGCUGCAGGAGCCCUGCUGCUGUUGGGCUGCAUUGAAGAUGCUGGUCUGAUGGAGCCGGAGACCUGCAGCCCCCUAGGUGAUUUUCCCCCACCAGCUCUCCUACCAAACAUCUCCUCAGCUCAGGAAGGCAAUCUGGUGCUCGCCCGCUGCCUGGUUUUCUCCCAUCUCCCCAUCACCCACAUCUUCUUCUGCAAGAACGGAGUGGUGCUGGAGAACCACCCCGUGGGUCCCAAGGAAUUCACAGCCACACUCACCAUCCGGCUUUCUGCGGAGAGCAGUGGCACCUACUCCUGUGGGUACCGACGGCAAAGCAACGUUGGGCACAUCAAGAUCUCAAGUUUGAGCAUCCCAUGGCUCCUGACCAUCGAAGGUAGGAAGGGGGAGCUGAGGAACAGCAGCAGCACCGCCACCACCACCCCAGAGCUGCCAGCUGAAGGAAAGCGAGUCCAGCUGGCCAGCUUGAAGCAUUUCGUUCAUCCCCCAGUGGAAGAGCCCAGCGUUUCACAGAGGAAGAGUCCUCCAGGAUCUCUUGCAUCUGGAUGACUUCUUGUUGGACCACAGACGUGCUCUUGGAUGUGAAUAUUGCAGCCCUCAAUGGACAUAGCAGGGGGAAUUGGCCCAAGACAGAAUCCCUUAGGCUCAACACCAGCUGCUCUGCAUAGGCAAGAACCAACAGCACCUCUCCAGAUGUUCCAGUGCCAUAGCAACAGCUCUUGGACGUGGAAGUCCAUCAAUUAAUUAAAAAGUUGAUUUCCUCUCUUAAAAUCAACCCUUUUCCUUCGUCUCUGAAGAUUUCCUAGCUGCUCAAUUUCCCACUAGGUUUGAACUUCAGUCCCGGGUGAGUCUCAGCCUCAGAGAGGUAUGGUUGAUAACCAUCCUGGUGGCCAUCAAGAUAUCUUUGUUGCCCAAAGUAGCACCAGGUCCCUUUGCCAACAUCACCCAACUGUUAAGGAGUGUAAAUCCGAUGGGUCUUCCCAUCCAGGUCUUCCCACACUGCCCACCAAAGGCAGUGACUCACCUGAGUGAAUCCAAACUAGCAGAUGGGACCCAAUGGUGAAACCAUUGCCAUUCAGCCCUUUGGAGAUUUCCUCCUUGGCCAUGGUCCUGAGCUGCUGUUAUGACACAGG